UGUCUAAGUAUAAGCAAUUAUACAGCGAAACUGCGAAUGGCUCAUUAUAUAAGUUAUCGUUUAUUUGAUAGUACCUUACUACUUGGAUAACCGUGGUAAUUCUAGAGCUAAUACAUGCUGAAAAUCCCGACUUCGGAAGGGAUGUAUUUAUUAGAUUAAAAACCAAUGCCCUCUGGGCUCCUUGGUGAUUCAUGAUAACUCUUCGAAUCGCAUGGCCCUGCGCCGGCGAUGGUUCAUUCAAAUUUCUUCCCUAUCAACUUUCGAUGUUUGGGUAUUGGCCAAACAUGGUCGCAACGGGUAACGGAGGGUUAGGGCUCGACCCCGGAGAAGGAGCCUGAGAAACGGCUACUACAUCCAAGGAAGGCAGCAGGCGCGCAAAUUACCCAAUCCCGAUUCGGGGAGGUAGUGACAAUAAAUACUGAUACAGGGCUCUUUUGGGUCUUGUAAUUGGAAUGAGUACAAUUUAAAUCCCUUAACGAGGAACAAUUGGAGGGCAAGUCUGGUGCCAGCAGCCGCGGUAAUUCCAGCUCCAAUAGCGUAUAUUAAAGUUGUUGUGGUUAAAAAGCUCGUAGUUGAACCUUGGGCCUGGCUGGCCGGUCCGCCUCACCGCGUGUACUGGUCCGGCCGGGCCUUUCCCUCUGUGGAACCUCAUGCCCUUCACUGGGUGUGGCGGGGAAACAGGACUUUUACUUUGAAAAAAUUAGAGUGCUCCAGGCAGGCCUAUGCUCGAAUACAUUAGCAUGGAAUAAUGAAAUAGGACGCGUGGUUCUAUUUUGUUGGUUUCUAGGACCGCCGUAAUGAUUAAUAGGGACAGUCGGGGGCAUCAGUAUUCAAUUGUCAGAGGUGAAAUUCUUGGAUUUAUUGAAGACUAACUACUGCGAAAGCAUUUGCCAAGGAUGUUUUCAUUAAUCAGGAACGAAAGUUAGGGGAUCGAAGACGAUCAGAUACCGUCGUAGUCUUAACCAUAAACUAUGCCGACUAGGGAUCGGACGAUGUUAUUUUUUGACGCGUUCGGCACCUUACGAGAAAUCAAAGUGCUUGGG
rnacentral:rRNA from 1 species